GAGGGGCCCGCACAAGCGGUGGAGCAUGUGGUUAAUUCGAUGCAACGCGAAGAACCUUACCUGGGCUUGACAUCCCGGGAAUCCCUUGGAAACAAGGGAGUGCCCUUCGGGGAACCUGGAGACAGGCGCUGCAUGGCUGUCGUCAGCUCGUGUCGUGAGAUGUUCGGUUAAGUCCGCUAACGAGCGCAACCCUCGCUGUGUGUUAUAUGUGUCACACGGGACUGCCGGUCUUAAGCCGGAGGAAGGUGGGGAUGAUGUCAAGUCAGCAUGGCCUUUAUAUCCUGGGCUACACACACGCUACAAUGGCCAACACAAUAGGUUGCUAAGCCGCGAGGUGGCGCCAAUCCAUAAAGUUGGUCUCAGUUCAGAUUGUAGGCUGCAACCCGCCUGCAUGAAGAUGGAGUUGCUAGUAACCGCAGGUCAGCUAUACUGCGGUGAAUACGUUCCCGGGGCUU
rnacentral:rRNA from 1 species